UGCAGGAUUGGUUCUGAAAUAGAUGGUCGGAAAGCGUGCAACAUUCUUCAUGCUGCUGGGCCUUCGAAGGUUGUGAUUACUAGCAUCAAUAUAGAAGGCAAUCUUCUUCUCAUUGGCAGUCAUCUGAAAGAUAAG